rnacentral:sRNA from 1 species
GCAGCUCCAAGGUGGAGCGCGCGAGACCGCU